rnacentral:rRNA from 1 species
AUACAACUUUCAGCAACGGAUCUCUUGGCUCUCGCAUCGAUGAAGAACGCAGCGAAAUGCGAUAAGUAGUGUGAAUUGCAGAAUUCAGUGAAUCAUCGAAUCUUUGAACGCACCUUGCGCCCUUUGGCUAUUCCGAAGGGCAUGCCUGUUUGAGUAUC